rnacentral:rRNA from 1 species
CGAGAAUUUUUCUCAAUGGGGGAAACCCUGAAGGAGCGACGCCGCGUGGGGGAUGAAGGGCUUCGGCCCGUAAACCCCUGUCAUUUGCGAACAAAUGUCAUGGUUGAACAUUCCAUGGCUUGAUUGUAGCGAAAGAGGCCGGGACGGCUAACUCUGUGCCAGCAGCCGCGGUAAUACGGAGGGUGCGAGCGUUGUCCGGAAUCACUGGGCGUAAAGGGCGCGUAGGCGGCCUGAUAAGUAGGGGGUGAAAUCCUGCGGCUUAACCGCAGGGCUGCCUUCUAAACUGUCAGGCUUGAGCACAGUAGAGGCAGGUGGAAUUCCCGGUGUAGCGGUGGAAUGCGUAGAGAUCGGGAAGAACAUCAGUGGCGAAGGCGGCCUGCUGGGCUGUUGCUGACGCUGAGGCGCGACAGCGUGGGGAGCAAAC